UACAGAGGGUGCGAGCGUUAAUCGGAAUUACUGGGCGUAAAGCGUGCGUAGACGGUCAUGUAAGUCGGGUGUGAAAGCCCCGGGCUCAUCCUGGGAAUUGCAUUCGAGACUGCAUGGCUAGGGUGCGGAAGAGGGAAGCGGAAUUUCCGGUGUAGCGGUGAAAUGCGUAGAUAUCGGAAGGAACAUCAGUGGCGAAAGCGGCUUCCUGGUCCAGCACCGACGUUCAGGCACGAAAGCGUGGGGAGCAAACAGG
rnacentral:rRNA from 1 species